ACCCUUAGAUCAUCAAGUCGAGCAGUGUUUCUUGCGUGAAAAUCAUUAUUAUCAAUAAAUUUGUCAUAUUCUUCUAAAUACGAGUCUCCGUCAUGAGUCGACUGUUCAGGGCUUCUUAUAUCACUGAGAAAGUAAACCACUCCUAUAAGCCAUGCCGCUGUUAGAAGACCGAGUACGGUUCGCGUCUUCAAACAGCGCAUGAUAUCGUACGAUAAAAGCCAGAGAAAGGAAUUAAAAUUUGUUUAAAGACGCAUUGUUUUUUUACGUUCUUUUUGCAAACGUAUGCGCC